GAUGAACGCUGGCGGCGUGCCUAAUACAUGCAAGUCGAGCGAACAGACGAGGAGCUUGCUCCUCUGACGUUAGCGGCGGACGGGUGAGUAACACGUGGAUAACCUACCUAUAAUACUGGGAUAACUUCGGGAAACCGGAGCUAAUACCGGAUAAUAUAUUGAACCGCAUGGUUCAAUAGUGAAAGACGGUUUUGCUGUCACUUAUAGAUGGAUCCGCGCCGCAUUAGCUAGUUGGUAAGGUAACGGCUUACCAAGGCAACGAUGCGUAGCCGACCUGAGAGGAUGAUCGGCCACACUGGAACUGAGACACGGUCCAGACUCCUACGGGAGGCAGCAGUAGGGAAUCUUCCGCAAUGGGCGAAAGCUUGACGGAGCAACGCCGCGUGAGUGAUGAAGGUCUUCGGAUCGUAAAACUCUGUUAUUAGGGAAGAACAAAUGUGUAAGUAACUAUGCACGUCUUGACGGUACCUAAUCAGAAAGCCACGGCUAACUACGUG
rnacentral:rRNA from 1 species